rnacentral:rRNA from 1 species
GAUGAACGCUAGCUACAGGCUUAACACAUGCAAGUCGAGGGGAAACGACAUCGAAAGCUUGCUUUUGAUGGGCGUCGACCGGCGCACGGGUGAGUAACGCGUAUCCAACCUGCCCAUCACUUGGGAAUAACCUUGCGAAAGUAAGACUAAUACCCAAUGACAUCCCACGAAGACAUCUGAAUGGGAUUAAAGAUUUAUCGGUGAUGGAUGGGGAUGCGUCUGAUUAGCUUGUUGGCGGGGUAACGGCCCACCAAGGCAACGAUCAGUAGGGGUUCUGAGAGGAAGGUCCCCCACAUUGGAACUGAGACACGGUCCAAACUCCUACGGGAGGCAGCAGUGAGGAAUAUUGGUCAAUGGGCGAGAGCCUGAACCAGCCAAGUAGCGUGCAGGAUGACGGCCCUAUGGGUGGUAAACUGCUUUUAUAAGGGAAUAAAGUGGGUCUCGGGAGACUUUUUGCAUGUACCUUAUGAAUAAGGACCGGCUAAUUCCGUG